rnacentral:rRNA from 1 species
CGUUCCCGGGUCUUGUACACCACCGCCCGUCACACCACGAAAGUCGGCAACACCCGAAGCCGGUGGCCUAACCGCAAGGGAGGGAGCCGUCGAAGGUGGGGCUGGGCGAGUUGGGGUG